AGCGAACGCUGGCGGCAGGCUUAACACAUGCAAGUCGAGCGCCUGUAGCAAUACAGGAGCGGCAGACGGGAGAGUAACACGUGGGAACGUACCCUUUGGUUCGGAACAACCCAGGGAAGCUUGGACUAAUACCGGAUAAGCCCUAACGGGGAAAGAUUUAUCGCCAAAGGAUCGGCCCGCGUCUGAUUAGCUAGUUGGUGAGGUAACGGCUCACCAAGGCGACGAUCAGUAGCNGGUCUGAGAGGAUGAUCAGCCUCACUGGGACUGAGACACGGCCCAGACUCCUACGGGAGGCAGCAGUGGGGAAUAUUGGACAAUGGGCGCAAGCCUGAUCCAGCCAUGCCGCGUGGGUGAUGAAGGCCUUAGGGUUGUAAAGCCCUUUCGGCGGGGAAGAUAAUGACGGUACCCGCAGAAGAAGCCCCGGCUAACUUCGUGCCAGCCGCCGCCGU
rnacentral:rRNA from 1 species